rnacentral:rRNA from 1 species
AGUGAACGCUGGCGGUAGGCCUAACACAUGCAAGUCGAACGGCAGCACAGUAAGAGCUUGCUCUUACGGGUGGCGAGUGGCGGACGGGUGAGGAAUACAUCGGAAUCUACUUUUUCGUGGGGGAUAACGUAGGGAAACUUACGCUAAUACCGCAUACGACCUACGGGUGAAAGCAGGGGAUCUUCGGACCUUGCGCGAUUGAAUGAGCCGAGGUCGGAUUAGCUAGUUGGCGGGGUAAAGGCCCACCAAGGCGACGAUCCGUAGCUGGUCUGAGAGGAUGAUCAGCCACACUGGAACUGAGACACGGUCCAGACUCCUACGGGAGGCAGCAGUGGGGAAUAUUGGACAAUGGGCGCAAGCCUGAUCCAGCCAUACCGCGUGGGUGAAGAAGGCCUUCGGGUUGUAAAGCCCUUUUGUUGGGAAAGAAAAGCAGCAGGUUAAUACCCCGCUGUUCUGACGGUACCCAAAGAAUAAGCACCGGCUAACUUCGUG